rnacentral:rRNA from 1 species
AGAGUUUGAUCCUGGCUCAGAACGUACGCUGGCGGCACGCCUAAUACAUGCAAGUCGAACGAAGUAGCAAUACUUAGUGGCAGACGGGUGAGUAACAUGUGGGUAUCUUCCCUUUGGUGAGGAAUAACACGAGGAAACUUGUGCUAAUACCUCAUAAGUCUUUACAGAGAAAGCUUUAUGCGCCAUUGGAUGAGCCCGCACUUGAUUAGUUUGUUGGUGGGGUAAUGGCCUACCAAGACUGUGAUCAAUAGCUGAUUUGAGAGGAUGAUCAGCCACAUUGGGACUGAGACACGGCCCAAACUCCUACGGGAGGCAGCAGUAGGGAAUCUUGCACAAUGGAGGAAACUCUGAUGCAGCGAUGCCGCGUGAGUGAAGAAGGCCUUUGGGUUGUAAAGCUCUUUCGUCGGGGAAGAAAAUGACUGUACCCGAAUAAGAAGGUCCGGCUAACUUCGUGCCAGCAGCCGCGGUAAUACGAAGGGACCUAGCGUAGUUCGGAAUUACUGGGCUUAAAGAGUUCGUAGGUGGUUAAAAUAGUUGGUGGUGAAAUCCCAGAGCUUAACUCUGGAACUGCCAUCAAAACUUUUUAGCUAGAGUAUGAUAGAGGAAAGCAGAAUUUCUAGUGUAGAGGUGAAAUUCGUAGAUAUUAGAAAGAAUACCGAUUGCGAAGGCAGCUUUCUGGAUCAUUACUGACACUGAGGAACGAAAGCAUGGGUAGCGAAGAGGAUUAGAUACCCUCGUAGUCCAUGCCGUAAACGAUGUGUGUUAGACGUUGGAAAUUUAUUUUCAGUGUCGCAGCGAAAGCAAUAAACACACCGCCUGGGGAGUACGACCGCAAGGUUAAAACUCAAAUGAAUUGACGGGGACCCGCACAAGUAGUGGAGCAUGUGGUUUAAUUCGAAGAUACGCGCAGAACCUUACCAACACUUGACAUGUUCGUCGCGACUCUAAGAGAUUAGAGUUUUCGGUUCGGCCGGACGAAACACAGGUGCUGCAUGGCUGUCGUCAGCUCGUGUCGUGAGAUGUUGGGUUAAGUCCCGCAACGAGCGCAACCCUCACUUUUAGUUGCCAUCAUUAAGUUGGGCACUCUGAAAGAACUGCCAGUGAUAAGCUGGAGGAAGGUGGGGAUGACGUCAAGUCCUCAUGGCCCUUACGUGUUGGGCUACACACGUGCUACAAUGGCAUCUACAACAGGAAGCAAAACGGCAACGUUAAGCAAAUCCCGAAAAGAUGCCUCAGUUCGGAUUGCACUCUGCAACUCGAGUGCAUGAAGCUGGAAUUACUAGUAAUCGCGGAUCAGCGCGCCGCGGUGAAUACGUUCCCGGGUCUUGUACACACCGCCCGUCACACCAUGGGAGUUGGUUCUACCUUAAGGCAAAGUUUAAAACCUUUGACCACGGUAUAGUCAGCGACUGGGGUGAAGUCGUAACAAGGUAACC